rnacentral:rRNA from 1 species
GACGAACCGUGCAAACGUUGUUCGGAUUCACUGGGCUUAAAGGGCGCGUAGGCGGCUUGCCAAGUCAGGGGUGAAAUCUUUCGGCUCAACCGGAAAACAGCUUCUGAUACUGGCAGGCUGGAGGGAGGUAGGGGCAGAUGGAACUUCCGGUGGAGCGGUGAAAUGCGUAGAUAUCGGAAGGAACGCCGGUGGCGAAAGCGAUCUGCUGGACCUCAUCUGACGCUGAGGCGCGAAAGCCAGGGGAGCAAACGGG